rnacentral:rRNA from 1 species
GACGAACGCUGGCGGCGUGCUUAACACAUGCAAGUCGAACGAGAAGAGAUGAGAAGCUUGCUUCUUAUUGAUUCGAGUGGCAAACGGGUGAGUAACGCGUAAGCAACCUGCCCUUCAGAUGGGGACAACAGCUGGAAACGGCUGCUAAUACCGAAUACGUUCUUUUGUCGCAUGGCAGAGAGAAGAAAGGGAGGCUCUUCGGAGCUUUCGCUGAAGGAGGGGCUUGCGUCUGAUUAGCUAGUUGGAGGGGUAACGGCCCACCAAGGCGACGAUCAGUAGCCGACCUGAGAGGGUGACCGGCCACAUUGGGACUGAGACACGGCCCAA